UAGUCAUAUGCUUGUCCCAAAGAUUAAGCCAUGCAUGUCCAAGUAUAAACCUUUAUACGGUGAAACUGCGAAAGGCUCAUUAAAUCAGCUAUAACUUGAUUGAUGAAGAAAGCUACAUGGAUAACCGUGGUAAUUCUAGAGCUAAUACAUGCAAAGGUCCUCCUGAGGGGGGGGGCAGUAUUUAUUAGAUAACAGCCGAUCCAGCAAUGGAGCAAGGUGAGUCAUGAUAACUGAGCGGAUCGUAUGGCCUUGGGCUGACGACGCAUCAUUUAGAUGUCUGCCCUAUCAACUUUCGAUGGUAGGAUCGGGGCCUACCAUGGUGGCGACGGGUAACGGGGAAUUAGGGUUCGGUUCCGGAGAGGGAGCCUGAGAGAUGGCUACCACUUCCAAGGAAGGCAGCAGGCGCGCAACUUACCCAAUCCCGACACGGGGAGGUAGUGGCAAUAAAUAACAAUACGGGUCUUGACAAAAGUCUCGUAAUUGGAAUGAGUACAAUUUAAACCCCUUAACGAGGAACAAUU
rnacentral:rRNA from 1 species